UAGCUCAGUGGUAGAGCAUUUGCCUACCAUGCAGGAAGCUCUGGGUUCAAUCCCCAG
rnacentral:tRNA from 1 species